rnacentral:misc_RNA from 1 species
UCUCUUUUUCUUGGUUUUGAUGGAAACCCAAUGAGAUUCCCCUCUGAAGAUAAGCUCCAUCCUAGUCUCACAACAUGGUCAAGUUUCUUUGUUUUGGGAAAAGAUUGAAGAAUGGUUCAUAAAGCUGAUUUAGUUAUUAUUGGCAUCUGUGUCGGUGUGGCUUUUGGAAUUCUCAUUGCAUCACUUGUUUUCUUUGGAAUUCGGUGGUACAAAAGGCGUGUUCAUCUUCAGCACCAUCCAAAUGAGAGAUCUCUAGCAACUCUUCCAAUACGGACAAAUGGACUUGGAACAAGCGUUGAUUUUAGUGCAUCUCUGUCAAAUUCUGUAGCUAUUAAGACAUCAGGAUUUCCUGCCACAAAACCACUGCACAGUUGGUGGAGUCACCCUUCUAAAGAUCAAUUUGCUUCAGCAUCUGGAUUACCAAGAUAUUUUUAUAAGGACAUUCAAAAAGCUACCCAAAACUUUACAACCAUUCUGGGACAGGGCUCUUUUGGUCCAGUGUACAAAGCUACAAUGCCUGCUGGUGGAGUAGUUGCGGUGAAAGUUCUUGCUACUGACUCAAAACAAGGAGAGAAGGAGUUCUUUACUGAGGUAACACUUCUAGGUAGGCUUCAUCAUCGGAAUUUAGUAAAUUUGGUGGGUUAUUGUGUUGAUAAAGGACAUCGCAUGUUAAUAUAUGAGUUCAUGAGUAAUGGAAGUUUGGCAAACCUUUUAUACAGUGAGGAAUACAGCCUGAGUUGGGAAGAUCGGGUGCAAAUAGCCCUUGAUAUUUCACAUGGCAUUGAGUAUCUUCACGAUGGGGUAGUCUGACUGACCAAUUUACUUCUAUUUGCCGUGCUCACAAGACUGGUUACUUAUUCUUGGUUCACAUUUCUUCCAACAGGCAGUUCCCCCAGUGAUACACCGUGAUUUGAAGACUGCCAAUAUAUUGCUAGAUCAAUCUAUGAGAGCUAAGGUUGCUGAUUU